GGUAAACACCAGUAUGUAAUGGUUUGGGGUUGGACCACAAUUCCUUGGUUGUAAUCGCACGCGCAGGGAACUCCAUUCUCGCCUUGCCGAUCAGAGGAGUUGCUGUAAGGCUUUUUACGUGCAGCUGUAUUUCGGAAAGUUGUAGUUUCAACGAUUUCAUUGAAGAUAUCAUGGCAAAUAAAUCAUGUAAAGCGAAGUCAAACUCUAAAGUGAAAAAGUGAGACAGAUUUUAAGUUUGAGGAAUCUUGGAGUGUUAUGAUUCAAACGAACUGAGGAGCUGUUUCUGCAAGGACAGGACGUACUUCUGGACGGUGAUAGCGACUCCGACUGGGGGCUGUCCGCUCUACCUGUGCCUCCAGUGGUGUUCAUAUGCCACAGUUCAUUACUGCAGGCAUGACUGUGCCUCAGGGCCAAAAGGGCACAGCAUGGAGGCGUCGUUGUGUUCUGUGUCACAUGAAAUGCACCACUUGUUCAGUUUGCCUCUGCUUUACAUCAGAAAGAGACUGCUAUGGGACAUGGCACAGGCAGCAAAAUAUUAUGACGGGGACUUCCAAAGGGGUGUACUGUUUUUUUGUUUUUUUGUGUGUGUUAGAAUUGCUUUUUGAUACGUUGUAUAUAGUUAUAGGUCAUUUCACCAAUUCGGCCACAUUUGGGCAACUUGUGUGGGACACCUGGGUGACUUCAUGCUAAAUGUCAUGUAGCUCACCCAUUCCUGAAGUUAUCAGUCUGAAACUUCGCAUACCUACAGUUGCCCUCGUGUUAUCCAUCAAAAUUAUCUCCAGCAUCCUAUUCUAGUACAUGUGAAAGAUACUACAACAAUAAAAAACAAAACGUA